GACAGUAUAUAAGGUGUAGUCAUUAGUCCCCUUGCCUCUCACUGAGUGCACUGCAAUUGUGUGGAUUCUCAAGGUUGAUAGCCAGGCACAAGUUCCUGUCCUUCACUGAGUGAACUGGGGCAGAUUGACGUUUACCACUGACAAAUGAGCUGCUGUGGCUGUAGAACUCCAGAAAAUACUCCUCCUCCCGCAUUAACUGUGCUAUAGGAGUUUGUGUCCUUGCAAAGGGGACCAGUCCAGUCACUGUUUUCUACGGUUAUUUUACCAUUUUGUUUCUUUUUGGUCAUUUUCCUUGGUUGAUUAUUAAGUGGUCUUUAGAUAUACUUUUUUAUGGAAGUUUUGACAUAGGUUUCUCUCCCCAAUUUAUGUAUGCUCACAGCUUGAUCCUGUACAAGGCUGGGUCCGUGUCGACACACUGCCUCCUCGUGGUGCGACUGCACUGGGUGACACUCUGUUACGGUGUGUAUGUAGCCUCAACACUGUAGAUUUUGUAGUGACUUGCAUGAUAUUUUGUAGUGAUUUGCAUGAUACUUUGUAGUGUAUUGUGUAGAAAUAAGCGUGUAGUGCAUGUCCUUGUCGGUGCUGGGCCUUCUGUCUCUUUCUGUCUCCCGCAGUCGUCUCCUGGAGUGGUGUGCACGUGCUGACCCGACCUUCCUACUUUGAGGAGAGUAA